UACAGAGACUGCAAGCGUUGUUCGGAUUCAUUGGGCGUAAAGGGUGCGUAGGCGGCGCCGUAAGUCGGAUGUGAAAUCUCGGGGCUCAACCCUGAAACUGCAUUCGAUACUGCGGUGCUAGAGGACUCUAGAGGAAACUGGAAUUCACGGUGUAGCAGUGAAAUGCGUAGAUAUCGUGAGGAAGACCAGUGGCGAAGGCGGGUUUCUGGAGAGUUCCUGACGCUGAGGCACGAAGGCCAGGGGAGCAAACGGG
rnacentral:rRNA from 1 species